UCACUUAUUGUUCGCAUAUUUUAAUAUAUAAUUGCAUUCUGAAGCCAGAAGACAGAGUAGAGGCAGUCAAGGGAAACAUUGAAAAUAUUUUUAAGUAUAACUUUCACGGGUUUAGCCUCUUCACAAAGAAAAUUAGGCCUCCCUCUUAUUGCUCUUCUUGCACGUCAUUUUUUCUUGCUAAUCAGCCAUUCCAACUAAUUGGAUGUCGUCAGAGCGAAGCCUGUAUGCCACUGAUUAUGGGUGUCACCCACUCUCAAUGGCUGUUUCUGUUCUUUAUGACCGUCUUCGUCGUUAUCCAAGUCUUUUCACGAGUAUACGCUUCCAUUGUUUGUCUUGUGAUGUAACAGAAUUAGGUGGAUUUUGAUAUGCGCAGUAGGUAGCCAUCAAGGCACGGCAACGAUGAUCUUAUGAAGUUUUGGUUCCUGCUCCUCAUUUUGCAGCUGUUGCACACGUGCUGCUCAUACGGAAUGUUUUUGUUGUUUUUUUUAAAGAUCAUCUUGAUAUCCAACUAUUUCCACUUGGAUAUAGUUUGGGCGUGUCCAUCUAAAGAGAGUGUUUGUUCAGAUCAUGUUGGAUAUGAUGUAGGACCACCAACAUUUUAGUGAAUUCUACGAAUAUUUCAGAAAGCGCCUCACGUUUCGAUGAACGUGUUUAGUCUACUUAUAUGCCCGUGUAGAGACUAACAACCAUAUAUUGUUGUCUGUUGAAAAAUAAAGAAGAAAUAGCCUGAUCGAGUUAUUAUUAGAAGUUGUUAGCAGUUAGAAGUUGAAAAGCAGACACGUGAGGAAAACUUAAAAAAUGGCUAAAUGCGCAUUAUUCUGUUGAUCUAAAUCGCCCAAGUUCUUGUAUGACCGUCCAGCAAUUUACUCUCCGUGUUUUGGUGUCCAGUGAUUUAAAAGUCCGUCUGACGGAAGCAACUCCAAUCCGCAGAAUGGAUUAUGACAAGUAUAAUAACUCGAUUAAUGCGCUGAUCCUGCGUCCCCACUGGAAGAAAACUAUCCCUAAUAAAAAAAAUACAAAAGUAAAGCGGUGAUUUGGACAAGGCAAUUUAUGAUUCACUUUCAACGCCGUCUUCAACGAACUUUGUGCUCCAUCGACUGCUAAAUAACAGAUUAUGGCUGCUGGAUUCAACAAAGCCUUGGUCUACUCCGUUUUGAAUAAAUACGAAAUCAACUGUAUUCCGCUUGGAUGACGGAUGCAUUAAAUGCACAUCACUACUGCUUAGUAGGUGUUGCCAUCUAGCGAUUGAAAAUAUGUUUUGUCUUUUUCAUUCCGCUGCGGCAGCCGGAAUGGUACCAAGAUGAAUACCAUAUUCACGCAGUGGGUUCCGAUUAAAUGUUUUAAAAAAAUAUUUAAAAUCUCUUAUGUUUCAAAA